GUUUUAAUAAUUUAAAUUAAAAUAUUGAUUUUGUAAAUCAAACAUGAAAAUUAUAUUCUUAAAACA
rnacentral:tRNA from 1 species